rnacentral:rRNA from 1 species
AGCUCCAAUAGCGCAUGUUAAAAUGUUUGCAGUUAAAACUCGUUGUUGGAUUUCUGGUAGAAGUAGCGACCUUAGGUCUUUGACCUAUGAAGUUGCUAUCUUCAACCAUCCUUGAAGAGAUUUAGCUUUGCAUUAAAUUGUUGAACUAAAGAUAUUCAUCUUUUGCUGUGAAAAAAUCAGAAAGUUCAAAUCAAGCAUUUAGCUUUGAAUGCAUUAGCAUGGAAUAAUGAAAUAGGACUUAGGUACUACUUUGUUGGUUUAUGCACCUAGGUAAUGAUUAAUAAGGAUAGUUGGGGGCAUUCAUAUUCCAAUGUUAGAGGUGAAAUUCUUGGAUUUUUGGAAGAAGAACAACUGCGAAAGCAUUUACCAAGGAUGUUUUCA